GAUGAACGCUGGCGGCGUGCCUAAUACAUGCAAGUCGAGCGAACAGACGAGGAGCUUGCUCCUCUGACGUUAGCGGCGGACGGGUGAGUAACACGUGGAUAACCUACCUAUAAGACUGGGAUAACUUCGGGAAACCGGAGCUAAUACCGGAUAACAUAUUGAACCGCAUGGUUCAAUAGUGAAAGACGGUUUUGCUGUCACUUAUAGAUGGAUCCGCGCCGCAUUAGCUAGUUGUUAAGGUAACGGCUUACCAAGGCAACGAUGCGUAGCCGACCUGAGAGGGUGAUCGGCCACACUGGAACUGAGACACGGUCAAGACUCCUACGGGAGGCAGCAGUAGGGAAUCUGCCGCAAUGGGCGAAAGCCUGACGGAGCAACGCCGCGUGAGUGAUGAAGGUCUUCGGAUCGUAAAACUCUGUUAUUAGGGAAGAACAAAUGUGUAAGUAACUAUGCACGUCUUGACGGUACCUAAUCAGAAAGCCACGGCUAACUACGUG
rnacentral:rRNA from 1 species